GACGAACGCUGGCGGUGUGCCUAAUACAUGCAAGUAGAACGCACAGUUUAUACCGUAGCUUGCUACACCAUAGACUGUGAGUUGCGAACGGGUGAGUAACGCGUAGGUAACCUGCCUGGUAGCGGGGGAUAACUAUUGGAAACGAUAGCUAAUACCGCAUAAUAUUAAUUAUUGCAUGAUAAUUAAUUGAAAGGUGCAAUUGCACCACUACCAGAUGGACCUGCGUUGUAUUAGCUAGUAGGUGAGGUAACGGCUCACCUAGGCGACGAUACAUAGCCGACCUGAGAGGGUGAUCGGCCACACUGGGACUGAGACACGGCCCAGACUCCUACGGGAGGCAGCAGUAGGGAAUCUUCGGCAAUGGACGAAAGUCUGACCGAGCAACGCCGCGGGAGUGAAGAAGGGUUUCGGAUCGUAAAGCUCUGUUGUAAGAGCAGAACGGGUGUGAGAGUGGAAAGUUCACACUGUGACGGUAUCUUACCAGAAAGAGACGGCUAACUACGUG
rnacentral:rRNA from 1 species